rnacentral:rRNA from 1 species
AAUGAACGUUGGCGGCGUGGAUUAGGCAUGCAAGUCGAGCGAGAAGCUCCCUUCGGGGAGUGGACAGCGGCGAAAGGGAGAGUAACGCGUAGAAACGUACCCAGAGGUUUGGAAUAGCGGAGCGAAAGCCCCGGUAAUGCCGAAUAAUGUCUUCGGACCAAAGAUUUAUCGCCUCUGGAGCGGUCUGCGUUCUAUUAGUUAGUUGGUGAGGUAAUGGCUCACCAAGACGAAGAUGGAUACCGGGCGUGAGAGCGUGAUCCGGCUCACUGGGACUGAGACACUGCCCAGACACCUACGGGUGGCUGCAGUCGAGAAUCUUCCGCAAUGGACGAAAGUCUGACGGAGCGACGCCGCGUGCUGGAUGAAGGCCUUCGGGUUGUAAACAGCUGUCAUAGGGGAGGAAAUUUUGACCGAUCCUAAGAGGAAGCACAGGCUAAGUUCG